CAUCAUUAAAGUUAAAAAAAAAUUGAAAAUAAAUAAGGAAAGAAAAGAGAAGAGAAGUGGAAAUGAUAAUACUUCCAUCAUUCCCACAUUUUCUUCAUUUUCAAUUUUUUUC
rnacentral:ribozyme from 13 species